GCUGAUCCUGCUGGAGGGUACUGCUAUUGGAAUUCGACUAAGACAUGCAAGUCAAAGCGUCACUUAGAUGAUGCUUGGCGUACGGCUCAGUAACGCGUAGUCAACCUACCUUUUGGAGGAGGCAAUCCCGGGAAACUGGGUGUAAUUCUCCGUAAGUGAAAGAAACUGGAAUGUUCUCUCGCUGAUAAGAAAGUGGCUAAUAAGCUAUUAUCGCCGAAAGAUGGGACUGCGUCGUAUUAGGUAGUUGGCGGGGUAAUUGCCCACCAAGCCUAAGAUGCGUACAGGCCUUGGGAGAGGCGGCCUGGAGAAGGGCACUGAGAUAAGGGCCCUAGCCCUACGGGGUGCAGCAGUUACGAAACCUUUACAAUGCGCGAAAGCGUGAUAGGGGGAUUCCGAGUGCCAGCACUUAGUGUUGGCUUUUGCCAGGUGAAAAUAGCUUGGCGAAUAAGCGGGGGGUAAGACACGUGCCAGCCGCCGCGGUAAUACGUGCCCCGCAAGUGGUACCCGUGAAUAUUGGGCCUAAAGCGUCUGUAGCCUGUUCUCCAAGUCCUUGGUGAAAUCUGUUCGCUUAACGGAUAGAAUUGCUGAGGAAACUGUUGGACUCGAGGCCGGGAAACGUUAACGGAAUUUCUGGGGUAACGGUGAAAUGUUAUAAUCCUAGAAGGACCACCAGUAGCGAAGGCGGUUAACGGGAACGGACCUGACGGUGAGAGACGAAAGCUAGGGGAGCGACCCGGAUUAGAUACCCGGUUAGUCCUAGCCGUAAACGAUGUGGACUAGGUGUUCUAAUACCUACGUGGUAUGGGAGUGCCGAAGCGAAGGCAUUAAGUCCACCGCCUGGGAAGUACGAUCGCAAGGUUGAAACUUAAAGGAAUUGGCGGGGACGCACACUAGGGGUGGAUGCUGUGGUUUAAUUGAACACAACGCCCGGAAACUCACCAGGGCCGACAGCAGAAUGAUGGACAGUCUGAAGGGCUUUCCUGACGCGCUGAGAGGUAUUGUAUGGCCAUCUUCAGCUCGUACUACGAAGCGUCCUGUCAACUCAGGCAACGGGCGAGACCCAUGUCAUUAGUUGCUAGCUAUUUUUUCGAAAGUAGCGCACUCUAAUGAGACUGCCGAGGUAACUUGGAGGAAGGAAUGGGCAACGGUAGGUCUGUAUGGUCCGAAUGCCCUGGGCUACACGCGGCAUACAAUGGUUGACACAAUGAGCUCCGACUCCGUGAGGAGAAGGUAAUCCCCUAAAUUCAACCUUAGUUUGGAUUGAGCGUUGCAAUUCACGCUCAUGAAAAUGGAAUCCUCAGUAAUCGCGCUUCAUCAUAGCGCGGUGAAAAAGUCCCUGCGUCUUGCACACACCGCCCAUCAAGCCAGCCGAGUGAGGCUUAGAUGAGGCUUUUUUUGAGAAGAAGAAGUCGAUUCUGAGUCCUGCAAGGGGGGCUAAGUUGUAACAAGGUG
rnacentral:rRNA from 1 species